UUCGGCAAUGGACGAAAGUCUGACCGAGACAACGCCGCGUGAGUGAAGAAGGUUUUCGGAUCGUAAAGCUCUGUUGUAAGAGAAGAACGGGUGUGAGAGUGGAAAGUUCACACUGUGACGGUAUCUUACCAGAAAGGGACGGCUAACUACGUGCCAGCAGCCGCGGUAAUACGUAGGUCCCGAGCGUUGUCCGGAUUUAUUGGGCGUAAAGCGAGCGCAGGCGGUUAGAUAAGUCUGAAGUUAAAGGCUGUGGCUUAACCAUAGUACGCUUUGGAAACUGUUUAACUUGAGUGCAGAAGGGGAGAGUGGAAUUCCAUGUGUAGCGGUGAAAUGCGUAGAUAUAUGGAGGAACACCGGUGGCGAAAGCGGCUCUCUGGUCUGUAACUGACGCUGAGGCUCGAAAGCGUGGGGAGCGACAGGAUUAGAUACCCUGGUAGUCCACGCCGUAAACGAUGAGUGCUAGGUGUUAGGCCCUUUCCGGG
rnacentral:rRNA from 1 species